rnacentral:rRNA from 1 species
UACGUAGGGUGCAAGCGUUGUCCGGAAUUAUUGGGCGUAAAGGGCUCGUAGGCGGUUUGUCGCGUCGGGAGUGAAAUCCUACGGCUUAACUGUGGGCUUGCUUUCGAUACGGGCAGACUAGAGGUGAUGCAGGGGAGAACGGAAUUCCUGGUGUAGCGGUGAAAAUGCGGCAGAUAUCAGGAGGAACGACCAGUGGCGAAGGCGGCUUCCUGGACACCAACUGACGCUGAGACGCGAAAGCGUGGGGAGCAAACAGG